UUGAACGCUGGCGGCAGGCCUAACACAUGCAAGUCGAGCGGAUGAAGGGAGCUUGCUCCUGGAUUCAGCGGCGGACGGGUGAGUAAUGCCUAGGAAUCUGCCUGGUAGUGGGGGAUAACGUCCGGAAACGGGCGCUAAUACCGCAUACGUCCUGAGGGAGAAAGUGGGGGAUCUUCGGACCUCACGCUAUCAGAUGAGCCUAGGUCGGAUUAGCUAGUUGGUGGGGUAAAGGCCUACCAAGGCGACGAUCCGUAACUGGUCUGAGAGGAUGAUCAGUCACACUGGAACUGAGACACGGUCCAGACUCCUACGGGAGGCAGCAGAGGGGAAUAUUGGACAAUGGGCGAAAGCCUGAUCCAGCCAUGCCGCGUGUGUGAAGAAGGUCUUCGGAUUGUAAAGCACUUUAAGUUGGGAGGAAGGGCAGUAAGUUAAUACCUUGCUGUUUUGACGUUACCAACAGAAUAAGCACCGGCUAACUUCGUG
rnacentral:rRNA from 1 species